rnacentral:misc_RNA from 1 species
UCAGCGGGUAUCCCUAUUUGAUCCGAGGCCAUGAUUUAGAAAAUCAUUGGCGACUUCUGAACGUCUUUUACACAUUUUGUUGUGCUACGGACAUACACAAAGUGCCCAUUUAUUUAGAUGAGCUCUUUUCGAGCAACAUCAACACAAGACAUGGUCUUAGAUAUAAACGGCGCUCGAACAAAUAUACCCCAAAGAAUACUAAGGGGUGCAAUGUGCGUUCAAAGAUUCGAUGAUUCACUAAAUUCUGCAAUUCACAUUACUUAUCGCAUUUCGCUGCGUUCUUCAUCGAUGCCAGAACCA